CCUACGGGUGGCAGCAGUGAGGAAUAUUGGUCAAUGGCCGUAAGGCUGAACCAGCCAAGUAGCGUGAGGGAAGACUGCCCUAUGGGUUGUAAACCUCUUUUAUGCGGGGAUAAAGGUGUCCACGUGUGGAGGUUUGCAGGUACCGCAUGAAUAAGGACCGGCUAAUUCCUGGCCAGCAGCCGCGGUAAUACGGAAGGUCCGGGCGUUAUCCGGAUUUAUUGGGUGUAAAGGGCGCGUAGGGGUGUCUUUAAGCGUUCCGUGAAAUUUUGUGGCUCAAACAUGGGAGUGCGGGGAGUACUGGAGACCUUGAGUGCGCGGAAGGCAGGCGGAAUUCGUGGUGUAGCGGUGAAAUGCUUAGAUAUCACGAAGAACCCCGAUUGCGAAGGCAGCUUGCCGCAGCGUUACUGACGCUGAAGCUCGAAAGCGCGGGUAUCGAACAGGAUUAGAUACCCGGGUAGUC
rnacentral:rRNA from 1 species